AUGGUGGCUAAAAGCAUGAAUGUGAGCAAUGUGCUGGUCCUUGUUAUAGCAGCGGCAGUAUUCACGCUACAUGGAACAGAAGCCGCACAAUACACAGUAGGUGACGAGCUCGGUUGGACCAUUCCUCCGGGUGGCGCCGCCACUUACGCUUCAUGGGCUGCCAAGCAUAGUUUGGUAGUUUCUGAUAUUCUAAGUGAGCAAUACUUCUGUGAAACUUUCCAAAUUGUAAAUUAAUUACUUUCUAUCUCAUUAAUAUUUGUAUGCAUUAUUAAUUCGCUAACCUAGAUGCAUAUAUGUUGUUUGUGCAGCAUUUAACUUUGCGGUUGGAGAACAAGAUUUGGCUUUAGUAACCAAGGAGGAUUUUGAUGCGUGCAACACAGCCGAACCGUUGUUUGUGUUCCAAGAACCAGGGGACUUUAUAUUUGAAAGUGAGGGCAUGUAUUAUUUGACCUGCACCUUCGCCGGCCAUUGCACCAAAGGCCAAAAGAUUGCCCUCUACUUCGCUCCCUCAGGCGGAUCUCCAUCUCCAAGUCCCGCUGCAAGUCAAAGUGCUGAUGAUGCUGCCGCGGUCAAAUUUGUGUCCAAGAAAGAGUAUGGCUUCAAGAAAUUAAUGCCUGUAACGAUGAAGUCCCUCUAA
rnacentral:lncRNA from 1 species